rnacentral:rRNA from 1 species
UACGUAGGGUGCAAGCGUUAAUCGGAAUUACUGGGCGUAAUGCGUGCGCAGGCGGUUGUGCAAGACCGAUGUGAAAUCCCCGGGCUUAACCUGGGAAUGGCAUUGGUGACUGCACGGCUAGAGUGUGUCAGAGGGGGGUAGAAUUCCACGUGUAGCAGUGAAAUGCGUAGAGAUGUGGAGGAAUACCGAUGGCGAAGGCAGCCCCCUGGGAUAACACUGACGCUCAUGCACGAAAGCGUGGGGAGCAAACAGG